GGGGGGGGGGGAGGAACGGGACUUCCUCCUUCAUGGCUCCUCAUCAAAUUGGGCCCCCAGGGCAAAGCAUCACUUCACUGGUCUGAUUGGGACUCAGGCCCUUCGCACCAGACUGUGAAAUCCCCUAGAAAGAACUGCCCAAGGAGCAAGGGCUGUGCCUCCACCUUCAAGGUGGGCAUUCUCUGAGGUCAAGGGUUUUGCCUUCCCUGUCAGACUGACCAUGUUCCUAGAGCAGGGACUAUGCCUCCACUGUUAGACCGGAGGUCCCCCCAGGACAGGGGGUAGAUCCCUUCCCAGGGGAGGCCCCUCCUCGAGGUGGCCAGGCCGCUGACUCUUACUGGGACAGGGUCCUAUCACUUCAGGGCCCUACACAGGACCUGCCCCAGGAUGAGGGCUUCAGGAAUCACGAGGGAAUGAAUGAGUGAAUGAAUGAACCAAUCAACAAGUGCAGGCAGACCCCAAAUUAAACCUUGCAAUCUCACCUGACCAGCAGGUGGCAUCAGGACUCAGAACCAAAGGAAAGCUGGAGGGGCAUGGAGAUGUUACUGGUCACUCUAUCGGAGAGCAGAGCAGGUGUUUCAAGAUCCUGCACCACCCAGGACCAGCAGCUGAGGGUCCUAAGGAGGUGCUGGGUUUGAGACCUGCUGGGGAGGCCACAAAGCGAGUGCCUGGCACCACACUCUCCCCUCCUCCCCUCCCCUCAAGCCAGUGCCAGGGGCCAGCCUCUGUGCAGGGCUUGGAAAAUGGCCAACGAGACCAGAUGCUAAUGACUCUUGUCCGAUUCAACACCAGACCAGAAAAAACAGCACGAAGUAGGCAUGAACUAAAGAGGGAGACCAAGCUGACCCUUUCUGUGGUCCCACACUCCCACCUCCCGUCCAUCCCCUAUGCCAGGUCACAGGCACCCAUCCCUGGGUCCAGGAGAAUUCAUACCCUAGAUGCAGUGUUGCCAUCACCCACCAAUGCCUUCAGAAAGGAAUGGGGAGGGGGAUCAAGAGAGGCCUGGAGGGCGGCCCCCCACGUACACCCUGUUCUGGCCUCUGGACAGCUUGGGUGUCAGUCAGGCGCCAGGCCCAGCUCCCCGCUCCUUGGUCUCACAAUCCCAGCCUUUGUCCAGCCGGCCCAGGCCUGGCGGGUUGCAUACUGGCCCAAUGGGCCCUGGAAACCAGAGCAGCUGGAACCCCACCAAGUAUUUUUCCAGGCUAGGCCAAGGGCCCUCAAGAGACAGAGAAGGAUGCAAAGGGAGGGGGUGUUCAUUCAUCCGUUUGUUCAUUCAUUUCUUCCUUGGACAAAUAAUAUUUAUUGAACACCCACUUUGCGGCAGGCACUGUGCUAGUUGUGGGGGAUUCAGUGAUAGGCCCGGCCCAAACCCAAGCCCUCAUCCAUCUUAUUUCCCAGAUGCCACUAUAUGCCA